CAAACACUGCUCCAGAGAGGGCACUAUAAAUACCCACCCCCUGCAUGGCUAUAAAUAAGGGAAGCAGCAGCACCCCUCUGUGCCACCUGUGCUUUGUGGGGUUGAUGCUGAGUGGCAGCACCUGUGGGGCUGCUCUGCUUUUUGAGGCACAGCUGUGGCCCUUUCAGUCACUGAAAUCAGCACCUGGAGUGCAGGAGGCGCAAUCAGUGCUGCAGCAGGAGACCCUGAGCUUUGGGUUUUCUGGCCUGUUGGCUGCUCCUGAGGCAGCAAGCUCACUGCUGCUGAGCAGGAGACGUGCACUGCUUCCCUGCAGGGACACCUGUGAACAUGGGAAUGCAACUCAGUAAGGAGCCCUUCAUUGUGGUUUACAAAAAAACAUCCAAGCGGGUGGAGAAAGAAGCUCCAGAGACUGCUGCACAUCCUCCAAAGUCUGGGGACUUCCAGGAUGCUGCCAAAGAGAUGCCUAAAGGAACCUGUCAGCACCGCCAGGCUUCUCCAGAUGCAAGCAAAAGACUGUAAGAGUGACCCAAGAGCAAGUCCUCUGUGCUGGAGGUGGGGGAGGAAACGGCUCAUAAAAAUUGUCCUUCUGUACACUGCAUCAUGGACUAGUUAAUGGACAACAGCAGAUAUUCAUGUAUUUAACAUAGGAAAUAGCCUUACUUGGGAAUGGACAUCUUUUCCCUGUGCUGGAUGAUCUCCUGUGGCUUGAGAUAACUACUCCUAGCAGGUGCAUAUCUUAACCAUACUGACUCUGGCCCAUGUAUAUAUGAAAUAUAAACCAGAUACAACACUCUUUUAGGAAACUGUUACCCUGCUAGAAGCUGUCUGUUAUGAUCUAGUGACAUACUGAGCUUAAAAUGAGUUCUUCAUGUGCAGUAUUACAUAGCAUCAAUGAGGUUGCUGAAUGCAUUGAGCACUGUACUACCAAGACUUGCUCAAGACGCAGAUAAUUCUACAGUCUUGCAACUUGAACACAAAUGAAGUUAUUUGAGAGAUGCAGGUAGUCUCAGUAAAAUGAAGGCAAAUGCAGGAACUGAAGAAACCUGAGCUUUGUAAUGGGUGUUCUGUAACCUGAGUGUUUAUAACCUGGAUGCCAUCCACUUAUCACUGAAGUAAUUUUUUGGUAAUGCUCUACCUAGACUUGAGGGAUCUCUUUGGAUUAAGAGUUGUGCUGGGCAAAAAGACCUCAGCCUAUAAACAGAGGUAGCGCAGCUCUCCUGCAGUUACUGUGCUCUGAGGCUGCAGUAACAGAACAAAGUCCUUGGCCAUGACUGUCAUAAGGUGGAAAUGCCUUGCUCUCUAAUUGAGGUUCAGACUGUUUUGAAAUUCACACUUGAAAAGAAAACUGAGAUGUUUGCAACAUGACUCUUCAAAGCAUUUCUAAACCUGUGCUCUCUCCCCUCUGAAGUUUCACUUGAGUUGAAAGCAGCUUCAUUAUUUUUUCAUCUGCUUUCACUUAUGAUGCUGUUGUCUCAAGCUGUUUGAUCUAUCUUUUUGCUAACCCCAUUUUUACUCAGUCCAGUACAGAUUAAGGUGGGGAACGUGAUUUAAGGUAUCUGAAGCAAAAAGCAUCUUUUUCACAUCAUGUCUAUGAUCUAAAGACACGGUCACCUUUCACCACUGCCUUUUUCCUUCAGUCAAUGUAGGCUUCCAAGCAUCUGGUGCUCAAUGUGAGUUAUAGACACACUCAGCUGUCCUGCAUGCCUGUACAAAAUGCUUCUCUUCUAGAGUGUAUUGCUAUAAUGAGGAAUAGGGAUAGCAUAAGGCAUUUCUCUAGAUGCUAGGAUUUAUUACCUGCUAGCUCAGUCUUAAGUGAGCUAAAUUUGCUUACCUGUGUUGAUAUAAACUAUAUUUGAUAUAAAAUCCAGAAUCCUGUUCCCUAUUAGCAUGAAUAGACAGCUCAAGUGCUAGGCUCAUGAUGGGCAGACAGGUCAAACCAAGGCUAGCAGUGGGAUGUGAUGAGCAGCUACAAGGAAAGAAAUAGCUCCUUUUUUUUUUUUUUUUUUUUUUUUUGGCAGGCUCUGGGAUGUUACAGUAUUCAAUUCAGUACACACGUACACAUAGAAUGAAGAGGCUGGGAAAUGGUUUGGGCACUGGGAGCUGAUAAAUACACUGCAUCCUCCUCACAGUGCCCACAGGCAACCUGGUGCAUUGCCACACUGGGGGAUUCAGCUGCAGUUCACUGGUAGGUGACUGGGACCUGCUUGGGAAUCACAAAUCCAUCUGCACCUGUAAGAUGCUAUUGUAACAGAUUUGCUUCCAGGCAGCAGUGAGCUUGUAUUGUACCAGGUCUUGACAGCGGGCAAAGCAGAGGAUGAGUACUUGUCAGUAACCUGGGCUGUGCACCUCUUGUUCCCUAUGGCCAGCUGCAGAACAACUUGGUUUCUGUAGCUGUAUGAACAGAGUGGGGCUAUGAGUGCUCUGACAAGUGUAUGCAUGCCUUUAAAGUUGGUCUGUCAGGUCAAAUAAGUAAGCUUUUGCAAGAGAAGUGUAACAGCCUUUCUGAUAGUAGGUCUGUGUGCUCUUUUCUAAUGCUGUAAAUGCAAAAGUAUCCACAUGAAAUAAGGCUUCUCAUCUGUUUCUUUCCCUUUUCCUGUUCUAAUGUGCUUUGUCAAGAGUCAUAAACCAAUGUUAUUCAAAUAAAAUGUUACAGGCACCGAUCUAAGAAUAUUUUAAGUGAUGUUAAAUAGCAUUUUGUGUGAUACAAAAGAGAAUGGUGUGAGGAGGAACUGAGUAAUGGAACUAAUAUUCAUGGACACGUGAAGAAGCACCGUGUGAAGCCUUGGGGAUGGGGCUGGUAGCUUGUCUUGAUGUAUGCUGAAGUAUUGGAACGGUAAUACUUAAAUGCUUUGCCCUGUGCUUAUCUUCUACUGGAGGAUGUGGUGGAGCUGUUCUCCCUGAUGCGAGUGGUUUAUGUUUCUGUACCACCUGCUAAUAAAAAAAUGAAGGGGCAAUGUAAACACCUAUUGAUAUAUUGCUGUGAUUAAGUACCUAUCAGAAAGCUCUCAAAGCCUGCUAAAGCAAUUUUGAUUCAAGCUUACAGGAGGUGAAUUCACAUGCUGUUAUUUACCCUACAAAGGGAAAGUCCAUGCUUUGUCUCAGAAACUUUUGCUCUAUUCUUGUGUAACAAAACAUAAAUAAACACAUAAUCCUUCAUAUUAAA